rnacentral:lncRNA from 1 species
UGGCCAGGGAACUGGAACCAUCUGGUUGGAUGACAUGCGGUGCAAAGGAAAUGAGUCAUUUCUAUGGGACUGUCACGCCAAACCCUGGGGACAGAGUGACUGUGGACACAAGGAAGAUGCUGGCGUGAGGUGCUCUGGACAGUCGCUGAAAUCACUGAAUGCCUCCUCAGGUAUAGUCUUCUGCCUAUCAGUGCUGACACAAAUACCUAAGGCUACAUGGAAGGUCAAGGGAGGGCAGAAACUGCUAUGAUAAUCAAAGAAGACUG